rnacentral:rRNA from 1 species
UACGUAGGGGGGCAAGCGUUGUCCGGAUUUAUUGGGCGUAAAGAGCGUGUAGGCGGCCAGGUAGGUCCGUUGUGAAAACUGGAGGCUUAACCUCCAGCUGUCGAUGGAAACCAUCUGGCUAGAGUCCGGAAGAGGAGAGUGGAAUUCCUGGUGUAGCGGUGGAAUGCGCAGAUAUCAGGAGGAACACCAAUGGCGAAGGCAGCUCGCUGGGACGGUACUGACGCUGAGACGCGAAAGCGUGGGGAGCGAACAGG